ACCUGAACGGUGAGCGACGCCACGGCGAACACCAGCGUGAAGAGAUGGCG
rnacentral:sRNA from 1 species